CGAGCAUAUCCCAGCGCUGGGCUCUGUCGGAGGCGCGACACUUCCACGCCCGUGCUCUUCCCCGUCCUUUGAAUCCGUUGGCCCAAGUGCCCAAGGAUGGGCUUGAGCUCGGCAUGCUCACGGGCGACCCAGCGCGGAGGCCCGCAACAAGACAACAAGGAGCGGGGCGUGGGUGCGCAAAAACUUCUGGGCACAGUUCGAUGCCUCCACUGGUGUGCCUCUGUUUGAUGUUCUAUUCAAGAUCCCUGUACAAUUGUGUUAUUCAAGAUACAAUGGCACUCGAUGAUGCUUGCUAACAAGGUCUGCAAUGCAAUAUGCACUGGACUGUUGCUUGCCAGAUGACUGGAAGACGGAUAAAUUUGCUUGCAAGGUUCUUGAUGAUAUAUCCAUUUUCAUCAAAUUCUUAAGGGUAUGGUCAAUUGGAGAAGACAUUACUAUGACUACAAAGAUCUGUUUUUUCAGGUGAUGAAUUGUAACCUUAUAUUCUUUAUUACUUGGAAUUGAAAAUCACUGGAAACAAUCCGUAAUUACUUUGGAGAGAAUAUUUUAUUCUUUUC